rnacentral:lncRNA from 1 species
AUGAUACACUGUAGUGUAAAGCGCUUUGGAGUCCUCACUCUGAGAGGCGCUAUACAAGUGCGGGCCAUUUAUCAUUCAUUUAUCAUCAUCAUCAUCAUCACUUUUAUCACUGCCAUCAUCAUCACCAUCAUCAUCACAACUAUCACUUUUAUCACCAUCAUCACCAUCAUCAUCAUCACUUUUAUCACUGCCGUCAUCAUCACCAUCAUCAUCACAACUAUCACUUUUAUCACCAUCAUCACCAUCAUCAUCUUCAUCAUCACCAUCACCACCAUCAUCAUCACUAUCACUUUUAUCACCAUCAUCACCAUCAUCAUCUUCAUCAUCACCAUCACCACCAUCAUCAUCACUAUCACUUUUAUCACCAUCAUCACCAUCAUCAUCUUCAUCAUCACCAUCACCACCAUCAUCAUCACUAUCACUUUUAUCACCAUCAUCACCAUCAUCAUCUUCAUCAUCACCAUCACCACCAUCAUCAUCACUAUCACUUUUAUCACCAUCAUCACCAUCAUCAUCUUCAUCAUCACCAUCACCACCAUCAUCAUCACUAUCACUUUUAUCACCAUCAUCACCAUCAUCAUCUUCAUCAUCACCAUCACCACCAUCAUCAUCACUAUCACUUUUAUCACCAUCAUCACCAUCAUCAUCUUCAUCAUCACCAUCACCACCAUCAUCAUCACUAUCACUUUUAUCACCAUCAUCACCAUCAUCAUCUUCAUCAUCACCAUCACCACCAUCAUCAUCACUAUCACUUUUAUCACCAUCAUCACCAUCAUCAUCUUCAUCAUCACCAUCACCACCAUCAUCAUCACUAUCACUUUUAUCACCAUCAUCACCAUCAUCAUCAUCACUUUUAUCACUGCCGUCAUCAUCACCAUCAUCAUCACAACUAUCACUUUUAUCACCAUCAUCACCAUCAUCAUCUUCAUCAUCACCAUCACCACCAUCAUCAUCACUAUCACUUUUAUCACCAUCAUCACUACUAUCACAACAUCAUCAUCACUAUCACUUUUCAUCAUUUCGUUUGAAUCUAUUUUCUGUUUUAAUUAA